rnacentral:rRNA from 1 species
CGGCGAGUGAAGCGGCAACAGCUCAAAUUUGAAAUCUGGCGUCUUUGGCGUCCGAGUUGUAAUUUGCAGAGGGCGCUUUGGCAUUGGCAGCGGUCCAAGUUCCUUGGAACAGGACGUCACAGAGGGUGAGAAUCCCGUACGUGGUCGCUAGCCUUUACCGUGUAAAGCCCCUUCGACGAGUCGAGUUGUUUGGGAAUGCAGCUCUAAAUGGGAGGUAAAUUUCUUCUAAAGCUAAAUACUGGCCAGAGACCGAUAGCGCACAAGUAGAGUGAUCGAAAGAUGAAAAGCACUUUGGAAAGAGAGUUAAAAAGCACGUGAAAUUGUUGAAAGGGAAGCGCUUGCAGCCAGACUUGCCUGUAGUUGCUCAUCCGGGUUUUUACCCGGUGCACUCUUCUACGGGCAGGCCAGCAUCAGUUUGGGCGGUUGGAUAAAGGUCUCUGUCAUGUACCUCCCUUCGGGGAGAUCUUAUAGGGGAGACGACAUGCAACCAGCCUGGACUGAGGUCCGCGCAUCUGCUAGGAUGCUGGCGUAAUGGCUGUAAGCGGCCCGUCUUGAAACACGGACCAAGGAGUCUAACAUCUAUGCGAGUGUUUGGGUGUCAAGCCCGAGCGCGUAAUGAAAGUGAACGGAGGUGGGAACCUUUCGGGGUGCACCAUCGACCGAUCCUGAUGUCUUCGGAUGGAUUUGAGUAAGAGCAUA